rnacentral:rRNA from 1 species
UACGUAGGGGGCAAGCGUUGUCCGGAAUCAUUGGGCGUAAAGAGCGUGUAGGCGGCCUGGUAAGUCCGCUGUGAAAGUCCAGGGCUCAACCCUGGAAUGCCGGCGGAAACUGUCAGGCUCGAGUCCGGAAGAGGCGAGUGGAAUUCCUGGUGUAGCGGUGAAAUGCGCAGAUAUCAGGAGGAACACCAAUGGCGAAGGCAGCUCGCUGGGACGGUACUGACGCUGAGACGCGAAAGCGUGGGGAGCAAACAGG